GAGGAACAUUGUGUCUGAUACAGCUAAUCGAUCGUCGGCGAAGCUCAAAUUGAUGUUAGCGACACGACGCGACGCUACUGCUGGCCACGACUGCUGCCACGAUGGCCGAGGAGGCUAACACAAACGAUAACGCGGCGAUGGGAAGUAUAACGCAAAACAUACUAGAGGUCAGUGCCGGGGGUGGCGACUCGACGUCCGCAGAGAGCAACGCGGGUGCGUUGCAGUUUCAAGCGUCUCAAGUGAUUGCGCGGUUAGAGCAAGCGGUAGAACAGGCGGCCAAAGGCGACAGCGGUGGCGGCGGAGGUGGCACCACAUGGAACAAUCCCUCAGGAUUCCUCUCGCAGCCGAAGAAAUCGGACGAGAUAUUAGCGUUGAUACAGGAUUUGGUAAUUCACGAAGACGCACCAAAAUCAGGCGAUGGAGAAUCACCGGAUUCGUUGAUCACUCAGAUCACAGCUUUGCCAACUCUAACCGAUGCUGCGAGAUUGGCUUUGAUCACACACACCGUUUCAGCUUACGCGGUCGCGCUACCGAAGUCACACGCCCAGAAACUCGCCGGUCGUCUCGCGGCCGACACAACGAGAUGGCUCAGCCAUAUAUUUCGCUUUGUCGAUUGUGCGUCCUCCUUCCACGAGGAUCACUUAGAAGGAUUAAUCAGAGUGACGCGACUUGCCUUACACAGAAAAUAUCCUCGAUACAUGGAAGAGGGCUUCACGGCACUUGCUUCUCAGCCUCCCUUGAUCUAUAGUUCCGUUGCUGCUCCUCUUGGUGUUGUUCAGCAUUUGUGUAGACAGCUUUCUUUGCCGCUUCAUUGCAUAAGACCGAUUCCACAUAAUACUAUGUUCGGCUCGAGACACACCAUGGACGUCUCGGCAUUGGAACGACGAUUAGCAGAAGACACUCAAUCAAAUAACGUGACCCCGUUGCUAGUCCUAGCUGAAGCUGGUUCGGUCUUAACAGGCCAUUGCGACAAUAUUACACGAUUACGAGCAAUAUGCGAUAAAUACAAUGUUUGGCUUCAUCUCAGAGGACAUUCAUUGGCUGCUCUUGCGUUGAAUACCUCAGCAAAAGAUUUGCCGUCAAAAAUAGCGGAUAGCAUUACAUUACCACUUGGAACAUGGCUUGGUAUACCUUCGUUACCGGUGGUCACAUUGUACAGAUUAGCAGAUAUUAAAGGAGGAAGACCUACUCCGAGAGAUACCACUUUGUCACUAGUUUCAGGAUUGAUGGCGGAUUCACUGUCGAGACGAUUGCCGACUUUACCUUUGUGGGCUGUUUUGCAGGUUUUAGGUCGAGACGGCGUACACGAGAGAUUUAAAAGAUGUUUUUUGGCUGUAGAAGAGUUGUACAAUAAAAUUAGAGAGUUUUCUUGUAUUAGAAUAUUGAGUCAACCGCCAGGUGGCGAAACAGAGUCUUACUCCUUGAGCGAAUAUUUGACGAAUCCAGUUAAUAAUUUACAAUUAUUUGAAGUGGUAGCGAGCGCAAUAGUUUUUCAAUUCGUACCUGUUAACAAAGAGCUUCAAACUACAGAACGCGUGCUGCCCUAUUACGACAAAUUAAAUUCCUGGUUAGGGCAAAUUCUUCAAAGAGACAUUAACAAUGUACAAAUAGAACUGUGUGACAUAGAACAGUGCGGUGUCGCGAUUCGUAUUUGUCCGUUAGAGAAUCCCGAUAAGCCGCCCACAACUGAAGAUGUGGAUAAUCUGAUAUCUUAUCUUGAACAACAAAUAGAAAUAUUACUGGCGACAGUGGAACAUAAAGAAACCUUUGUACGUUUAGUCUCAGAAAAUGAUUCUUUACACCUAGUGGAAAUGCCUGGUUGGGCAGGUUUGGGAGGUGUGCGUUACGCUCCACCUACAUGGAUUCACGUAAUGACUGAUCAGGCAAGAGAAGAAUUAAACAAUCUAAAUAAACAAUUAGUUGAAACUCUACGUAGCACAGAUGCUGCGUUUUCUCUUGGAGAAGGUGCAGACGGUCUCGCUUGUGUGCGAUUCGGCAUGGUAACACAAGACACAGAUGUGGCCGAAUUGUUAUCUUUAGUUUUACAAGUUGGUCAGGAAGUAGAAGCUAGUUCUAAAAUAAUGGAUGCAAUUUCUGAACUGGUUAAAAGGGGUAUCGAAGCGGCACAAACAGACUUAGAGAAAGAACAUGCGGAAAAAAUAUGGCAAGAGGGUAUUCUCAGGCACGUACCUGUAGUAGGAACUUUUGUCAAUUGGUGGAGUCCUAUUUCGAAGGAGACUGGCGUUCGUGGUCGUAGUUUAAACUUACAGGCUGCAGGUGUCGUAGAGAGUACGGAAAAUAUCUACAAAUAUCACAUGCAAUUGCAACCUAAUUUUACGAACAGCAACGGUUCCGGCGCCAGAACUCCACCUCAACCGCUAAUACAAACGCCGGUUGGUGCUAGUAGCCAGAGUCAUAGUCGAUCGUCCAGUCAUUCUAGCCUACAAAGCGGUAAAAGCAUGCCUCUGUUGAAUAGUUCUCAGCCGCAGGUGAAAGAGGAAUCUGAGAACACGACGUCGUAGUGAAUACUAUAUUGUUAUACGAUAAAUCGCGAGCACACGAAUUUCCAAGUCAUUGAAUUUGGGACAAGAGAGAAAUGCUUUAUGUGAAACGUUCUAGUGUUUCUUCCAGGAAGUAUAUUCUUUAUAUUUGCAAAGUGAUUUGUAAUAACUUGUACAGCUUGCCGACUCUAAGAAGCUGGAUAGAAUGAAACGCACGAUAAUUUUAUUCUGCUGCUGAUAUACUUUACCGACUGUUUCUCAUCAGAAUUACUUUUCGCAGUCUUGUCUCUUACACCAAUCUCUUUCACAUAAAAACUUUGUGAAAUUUCGCUAUUAUUUCAAAACUAUCAUGACUUAAUUGUGGGAUGGCCCAUGUACUUAUUAGACUGAUGUACACGUAGCAACAUCGUUUUUAUAUAAUCAUGAAUUGUUGAAAACUAUCAAACGUGAGGAAAAGUCCAGCAGUAUAUUUAUGUAUCAGAAUUGUUAUAAAUAAAAUAUUGCUAAAAUAUAUAGAUAAAAAUAAUCACAAGAAAAGACUUCUGCUUUUGUUUUACGUUACAAUAUAUAGUUGUAAAUUUUUUACAAUGAUAUCGUAAUACAGAUAAUUAUAGAUGUUGGGUUUUUAUUUUUCUUUUUUAUAUUCAUGUGUUUUUCAUUACAAUAAGAGGAAUUAAAUCCAGAAUAUGGCAAUUUUUUUUUCUUGUCCAGACACAAUUGUAAUAUACAAAAGUGGCAUCGAGUACCGAGUUUCGUUCGUUCUUUCCCGUCUUCUAUAUGUACCACUAUAUAUCUCUGUGAGAUAUAAGUCUCUUUAUAUUACAUCAAAAUUCGCACAACUGCACAUACAAAGAAAGACGCAAUAUUUAUAUAACUUACAUAAGAUCUCUAGAGAAUAAUCGAAGUAGCCUCUACACACUUUAUAAAUAAAUCUCUUUCGCGUAGUCAAAGAGAAAUAUGCGCUUCAAAAAAAAGCACAAAAAAAAUUUAUUAUCUAGUCUUGAUGAUACUUUCAUUAAUAAAUAUAGCAAGAGAUAAUAUGUUAGAAAUGCAACGUAAUUUGUGACGAAUGUUGAAUAGAGGAUACCGAGAGAUACUGUCAAAAAAGUGUGACAGAAAUAAAAUAUCCCGACAACAUUUCAUACCGAGCACGUGCGUAAAAGAUUACAUACUUAUAUAUAAUAUACGGAUACAUGGAAAAAUGUUAGAGCCCUGGAUCCUUCGAUAUAUCCAGAAUCAGUCUUAAAGUAUGCACGAAAGCUUUUAGGUCUCACGUCACAUAUUCAUAUAUUUUGUCGAUGUGUAUAACACUCAGAAUCAAAUUCUUCUUUCAAAUUUGGAUUUUGAUUUUCAUCGUUUUAUUGACUAUUUUUUCUUACUUUGCGACAAAAAAAUGCCAUAGGCCAAGAAAAUGCACUAAUUCAAACGAGUUCCUUAACGUUAUCAUUACAUCGUCACUAUCUUUUCUACUAUUUUAUUCCACUAUCUUUUUAAAAUAGUAGUUCCCGUUUUUUUCUUUAUCGCUCUUUCCUUUUCUCUCUCUCUCUCUCUCAUACGCAUA